UCAGGAUGAACGCUGGCGGCGUGCCUAACACAUGCAAGUCGAACGGGCUUGAUUCUGGAGGCUUCGGCCAAAGAGGGUUAAGCUAGUGGCGGACGGGUGAGUAACGCGUGGAGAACCUGCCCUGUACUGGGGGAUAACAGUGAGAAAUCACUGCUAAUACCGCAUAAGCGCACGGCACCGCAUGGUGCAGUGUGAAAAAACUCCGGUGGUACAGGAUGGCUCCGCGUUGGAUUAGCCAGUUGGCGGGGUAACGGCCCACCAAAGCGACGAUCCAUAGCCGGCCUGAGAGGGUGAACGGCCACAUUGGGACUGAGACACGGCCCAGACUCCUACGGGAGGCAGCAGUGGGGAAUAUUGCACAAUGGGGGGAACCCUGAUGCAGCGAACCGCCGCGUGAAGGAUGAAGUAUCUCGGUAUGUAAACUUCUAUCAGCAGGGAAGAUGAUGACGGUACCUGACUAAGAAGCCCCGGCUAACUACGUGCCAGCCGCUGC
rnacentral:rRNA from 1 species